rnacentral:rRNA from 1 species
GCCUGGUAGCGGGGGAUAACUAUUGGAAACGAUAGCUAAUACCGCAUAACAGUAGAUAUCGCAUGAUAGCUGCUUGAAAGGUGCAAUUGCACCACUACCAGAUGGACCUGCGUUGUAUUAGCUAGUUGGUGAGGUAACGGCUCACCAAGGCAACGAUACAUAGCCGACCUGAGAGGGUGAUCGGCCACACUGGGACUGAGACACGGCCCAG